GUGAGGAAUUUUGCGCAAUGGGGGAAACCCUGACGCAGCGACGCCGCGUGGAGGAUGAAGGCCUUCGGGUCGUAAACUCCUGUCAGAGGUGAAGAAUGCCCGCAAGGGUUUGACGGUAACCUCAGAGGAAGCCCCGGCUAACUACGUGCCAGCAGCCGCGGUAAUACGUAGGGGGCAAGCGUUGCUCGGAAUUAUUGGGCGUAAAGGGUGUGUAGGUGGCUGAUCAAGUCAAAGAUGAAAUCCCGAAGCUCAACUUCGGAAUUGUCUUUGAAACUGGUCGGCUUGAGGCUGGUUGAGGAGAGCGGAAUUCCCGGUGGAGCGGUGAAAUGCGUAGAUAUCGGGAGGAACACCUGAGGCGAAGGCGGUUCUCUAAACUUGUCCUGACACUGAAACACGAAAGCUAGGGGAGCAAACGGGAUUAGAAACCCCAGUAGUCC
rnacentral:rRNA from 1 species